CAGUCGCCGCGGGAAUACAGAGGGUGCGAGCGUUAAUCGGAUUUACUGGGCGUAAAGCGUGCGUAGGCGGCUUCUUAAGUCGGAUGUGAAAUCCCUGAGCUUAACUUAGGAAUUGCAUUCGAUACUGGGAAGCUAGAGUAUGGGAGAGGAUGGUAGAAUUCCAGGUGUAGCGGUGAAAUGCGUAGAGAUCUGGAGGAAUACCGAUGGCGAAGGCAGCUAUCUGGCCUAAUACUGACGCUGAGGUACGAAAGCAUGGGGAGCAAACAGGAUUAGAUACCCGCGUAGUCCCUGUCUCUUAUAC
rnacentral:rRNA from 1 species